UACGUAGGGUGCGAGCGUUGUCCGGAAUUACUGGGCGUAAAGCGCUCGUAGGUGGUUUGUCGCGUUGUCCGUGAAAACUCACAACUCAAUUGUGGGCGUGCGGGCGAUACGGGCAGACUGGAGUACUGCAGGGGAGACUGGAAUUCCUGGUGUAGCGGUGGAAUGCGCAGAUAUCAGGAGGAACACCGGUGGCGAAGGCGGGUCUCUGGGCAGUAACUGACGCUGAGGAGCGAAAGCGUGGGGAGCGAACAGG
rnacentral:rRNA from 1 species